rnacentral:lncRNA from 1 species
AUGAAUAUAGUACCAACGGCUGCGGAGAUUUUGAGUAGAGACCGUCUAUUGCUCAAAGGUGAGAUGAAAAAGAUCUCUGAGAAAUGGGAAGAAAGGACAGAAGUAUCAGGCACUAUAUGGCCCAUGGGAGGGACUUUUGAUCCAAUAAUGUAUAGGGACAUGGAGGUAGUGAUAAGGAAUUACAUAGAUAACAGAAGUGGAAAAGCGGCCUUGGCGAAGAGGGACAGGGAAAAGUUAGUACUAGCUUUGUUCCUAGAGGAAGGAGAGAGAUGUCGAACGUUACAAAGAGUGGCGGGAGAAAUAAUAGCUAAGAACAAAAAGGCUCAACCAUUGCCUCUGAAGGUUGAGCCACCGCUAUACAAACCAGUGUCAAUCUAUCCAUUGUUAAAAGGCAUGGUAGCAAAUAAAGGGGAGGUCACACUAGAUGAGGAGGAUAAGCAAUGUAACACACAGGGAAGGAGGGGCGCACCCAUACACACGGACUGUUAUGAGGGGAUUAGAAAUGCAAGAGAAGAGUGUGACGAUUCUGAAACUAGUUCUAGUGAAAGCAAGGACGAGGAUAAGAAUAGUGGUGAUGAGCACGUGGGCGAAGAUGGGAACAAUGCUACUGAACAAAAUUACAAAGAACUUUCUUCUAAAAUUAAAAGGAGAGGAAAGAACACAAAGAAGAGAACGAAGAGUCAGAGGAGGCAGAAAAAAAGGAGAGAUAGUAAUCAGGGAGAGAGUUCCCGUGUGGAUCAAGGGCCAGAGGAACCUUGUUGUAGUACAGCAUUACAAAGCCCCCUGGCACUCGAAACACAGGGGAAACCAAGGGGAUCACAUAGAGAAAGAAGAGCACCCGACACGUCAUCAGGAAAUUAUCCUAUUCUAAUCAAUGGACAGCAGGCAUUCUCUCCCCCGAUAGAACAGCCUCAGAGCCAACAGUCACCUAAUCCACCAGUUACACAUGUUCACAUCCAUAAUUAUGGGAACCCCACAAAUAUAAAUAGACAGAAUCAGAAUGAGGGGCCCCAAGGUCAGUUUAGAAACAAUCAACAACAAGGAUUCAAAGGACAACGCAGAGGUCCUUUAAUAUGUUAUGGGUGUAACCAGGAAGGACAUAUUAAGAGAAAUUGUUCAAUGAACCCUUUCCCACCCCAGCAAGGACAGGGUAACGGCUAUCAGGGAAGGCAAGAACAAGGAGGUAGCUCCCAGCCAGGUCCUAUUAUGGGACAGGGAUACUAG